AUUGAACGCUGGCGGCAUGCUUUACACAUGCAAGUCGAACGGCAGCACGGGCUUCGGCCUGGUGGCGAGUGGCGAACGGGUGAGUAAUAUAUCGGAACGUACCCAGAAGUGGGGGAUAACGUAGCGAAAGUUACGCUAAUACCGCAUACGAUCUAUGGAUGAAAGCAGGGGACCGCAAGGCCUUGUGCUCCUGGAGCGGCCGAUAUCUGAUUAGCUAGUUGGUGAGGUAAAGGCUCACCAAGGCGACGAUCAGUAGCUGGUCUGAGAGGACGACCAGCCACACUGGAACUGAGACACGGUCCAGACUCCUACGGGAGGCAGCAGUGGGGAAUUUUGGACAAAGGGCGCAAGCCUGAUCCAGCAAUGCCACGUGAGUGAAGAAGGCCUUCGGGUUGUAAAGCUCUUUUGUCAGGGAAGAAACGGUAGAGGCUAAUAUCCUUUGCUAAUGACGGUACCUGAAGAAUAAGCACCGGCUAACUACGUG
rnacentral:rRNA from 1 species